rnacentral:rRNA from 1 species
AGAGUUUGAUCCUGGCUCAGGACGAACGCUGGCGGCGUGCUUAACACAUGCAAGUCGAACGGACGGACAGGGAGCUUGCUCCCUUGAAGUUAGUGGCGAACGGGUGAGUAACGCGUAAUCAACCUGCCCUUCAGAGGGGGAUAACAACGGGAAACCGUUGCUAAUACCGCGUACGAUUCACGAAUGGCAUCAUUUGUGAAUGAAAGGUGGCCUCUAUUUAUAAGCUACCGCUGAAGGAGGGGAUUGCGUCUGAUUAGCUAGUUGGAGGGGUAACGGCCCACCAAGGCAAUGAUCAGUAGCCGGUCUGAGAGGAUGAACGGCCACAUUGGGACUGAGACACGGCCCAAACUCCUACGGGAGGCAGCAGUGGGGAAUCUUCCGCAAUGGACGAAAGUCUGACGGAGCAACGCCGCGUGAGUGAUGAAGGUCUUCGGAUUGUAAAGCUCUGUUAAUCGGGACGAAAGAUCUUUGCGUGAAUAAUGCAGAGAAGUGACGGUACCGGAAUAGAAAGCCACGGCUAACUACGUGCCAGCAGCCGCGGUAAUACGUAGGUGGCAAGCGUUGUCCGGAAUUAUUGGGCGUAAAGCGCGCGCAGGUGGUUUAAUAAGUCUGAUGUGAAAGCCCACGGCUCAACCGUGGAGGGUCAUUGGAAACUGUUAAACUUGAGUGCAGGAGAGAAAAGUGGAAUUCCUAGUGUAGCGGUGAAAUGCGUAGAGAUUAGGAGGAACACCAGUGGCGAAGGCGGCUUUUUGGCCUGUAACUGACACUGAGGCGCGAAAGCGUGGGGAGCAAACAGGAUUAGAUACCCUGGUAGUCCACGCCGUAAACG